UACAGAGGUCCCGAGCGUUGUUCGGAUUCACUGGGCGUAAAGGGUGCGUAGGUGGUGGGGUAAGUCGGAUGUGAAAUCUCGGAGCUCAACUCCGAAAUGGCAUUGGAAACUACCCUGCUGGAGGUUUGGAGGGGGGACUGGAAUACUUGGUGUAGCAGUGAAAUGCGUAGAUAUCAAGUGGAACACCAGUGGCGAAGGCGAGUCCCUGGACAAAACCUGACACUGAGGCACGAAAGCGUGGGGAGCAAACAGG
rnacentral:rRNA from 1 species